GACGCUGGCGGUUGGCGCUCCUGGUUUCCAGGAUGGGGUUCAAGUCCCUGCGGCGUC
rfam:Anolis carolinensis unplaced genomic scaffold chrTn0101, whole genome shotgun sequence.